rnacentral:rRNA from 1 species
GACGAACGCUGGCGGCGUGCCUAAUACAUGCAAGUAGAACGCUGAAGGAGUAGCUUGCUUCUCUGGAUGAGUUGCGAACGGGUGAGUAACGCGUAGGUAACCUGCCUGGUAGCGGGGGAUAACUAUUGGAAACGAUAGCUAAUACCGCAUAGGAGUAGAUGUUGCAUGACAUUUGCGUAAAAUUUGCAAUUGCAUCACUACCAUAUGGACCUGCGUUGUAUUAGCUAGUUGGUGGGGUAACGGCUCACCAAGGCGACGAUACAUAGCCGACCUGAGAGGGUGAUCGGCCAAACUGGGAAUGAGAAACGGCCCCGAAUCCCACGGGAGGCAGCCGUAGGGAAUCUUCGGAAAUGGACGGAAGUCUGACCGAGCAAAGACGCGUGAGUGAAGAAGGUUUUCGGAUCGUAAAGGUCCGUUGUAAGAGAAGAACGAGUGUGAGAGUGGAAAGUUCACACUGUGACGGUAUCUUACCAGAAAGGGACGGCUAACUACGUG